GAUGAACGCUGGCUACAGGCUUAACACAUGCAAGUCGAGGGGCAGCAUGCCGGUUGCUUGCAACCGGUGAUGGCGACCGGCGCACGGGUGAGUAACGCGUAUCCAACCUUCCCGCGACCAAGGGAUAACCUGCCGAAAGGCAGACUAAUACCUUAUGUCCUCCUUUGAAGGCAUCUGACGAGGAGCAAAGAUCCGUCGGUCACGGAUGGGGAUGCGUCCGAUUAGCUUGUUGGCGGGGCAACGGCCCACCAAGGCAUCGAUCGGUAGGGGUUCUGAGAGGAAGGCCCCCCACACUGGAACUGAGACACGGUCCAGACUCCUACGGGAGGCAGCAGUGAGGAAUAUUGGUCAAUGGGCGGAAGCCUGAACCAGCCAAGUAGCGUGCAGGAUGACGGCCCUACGGGUUGUAAACUGCUUUUAUGCGGGGAUAAAGUUGCCCACGCGUGGGUUUUUGCAGUACCGCAUGAAUAAGGA
rnacentral:rRNA from 1 species